rnacentral:sRNA from 1 species
CAGGAUCUGGUGACAGUCGUUCCUGUCGGAAUUCGGAAAUUCAGCAGUUUCUCCUGGCGCGUCCCCUUUGUGCAGCAGGUGUAACCUCCCACGCCCGCUAGCGAUGCGCCCUCCUUGCCUCGCUUGUCCUUCGGACCGGCGAGGCAUUUU